rnacentral:rRNA from 1 species
GGUGGGGAUGACGUCAAGUCAUCAUGGCCCUUACGGCCAGGGCUACACACGUGCUACAAUGGUCGGUACAAAGGGUUGCCAAGCCGCGAGGUGGAGCUAAUCCCAUAAAACCGAUCGUAGUCCGGAUCGCAGUCUGCAACUCGACUGCGUGAAGUCGGAAUCGCUAGUAAUCGUGAAUCAGAAUGUCCACGGUCGAAUACGUUCCCGGGCCUU